UUCUAAUCGCUUUACAAUUAGUAAAACCUGCUCAAUGAAAACCUUUAACAGCCGCAUUUUGUGCUAAGGUAGCAUAAUAAUUUGCCUGAUAAUUUCAGGAUAGAAUGAACGGUUAUACAUGAAACUUACUUUAUUAAUUUUAUCUUUUUGAAAUUUACAUAAGAGUAAAAAGGCUCUUAUAACAAGAGGGACGACAAGACCCUGACGAACUUCACUUUAGUUUGGCUGGGGCGGCAAAAAACUACAGCUUUACUUCUAUCAUUUAAAAUCCUUUCUUAUGAAUCUCAGUUACCGCAGGGAUAACAGCAUAAUUCGCUUUAAGAGACCUUAUCAAAAAGCAAGCUUGUGACCUCGAUGUUGAAUAAAAUUCUCCUAAGGGCAGAACCUUAGAAUAGAAAGUCUGUUCGACUUUUAAUUAUUUACA
rnacentral:rRNA from 1 species